GAUGAACGCUGGCGGCGUGCCUAAUACAUGCAAGUCGAGCGAACAGAUGAGGAGCUUGCUCCUCUGACGUUAGCGGCGGACGGGUGAGUAACACGUGGAUAACCUACCUAUAAGACUGGGAUAACUUUGGGAAACCGGAGCUAAUACCGGAUAAUAUAUUGAACCGCAUGGUUCAAUAGUGAAAGACGGUUUUGCUGUCACUUAUAGAUGGAUCCGCGCCGCAUUAGCAAGUUGGUAAGGUAACGGCUUACCAAGGCGACGAUGCGUAGCCGACCUGAGAGGGUGAUCGGCCACCCUGGAACUGAGACACAGUCCAGACUCCUAGGGGGGGCAGCAGUAGAGAAUCUUCCGCAAUGGGCGAAAGCCUAACGGAGCAACGCCGCGUGAGUGAUGAAGGUCUUCGGAUCGUAGAACUCUGUUAUUAGGGAAGAACAAAUGUGUAAGUAACUAUGCACAUCUUGACGGUACCUAAACAGAAAGCCACGGCUAACUACGUG
rnacentral:rRNA from 1 species